CAUGUUCAUUAACUCGGCCCAUGGAGAGUUAGAGCCAUUUUCUCUAACACUCACAUGGGUAAUUCCUACCUGGCGCGUCCAUGUCGCAGGGGUGGGCACCUCUCACUUCAGUAGGCCGGAGUGAACAGGUGGCGAAGUUCAGGUAGGGACCCAGUUCUGUGGGGUAUAACGCGGACCCCUGCCCAGGGAUACGGGUGAAGACCACAACGGCGGAGACGGCGUAGAAGAGGAUCUUCGGUUCGGCGUCAAUGGCGGAAGUGGCAGGCCUGUUUUUUCGGCAUACCACUGCAGAAUCGGAUCUAAAAUGGGCGGUUGUGGAUUCUGGUUGGCGAAGAAACAUCGACGGC
rnacentral:lncRNA from 1 species